AGUGAACGCUGGCGGUAGGCCUAACACAUGCAAGUCGAACGGCAGCACAGUAAGAGCUUGCUCUUACGGGUGGCGAGUGGCGGACGGGUGAGGAAUACAUCGGAAUCUACUUUUUCGUGGGGGAUAACGUAGGGAAACUUACGCUAAUACCGCAUACGACCUACGGGUGAAAGCAGGGGAUCUUCGGACCUUGCGCGAUUGAAUGAGCCGAUGUCGGAUUAGCUAGUUGGCGGGGUAAAGGCCCACCAAGGCGACGAUCCGUAGCUGGUCUGAGAGGAUGAUCAGCCACAAUGGAACUGAGACACGGUCCAGACUCCUACGGGAGGCAGCAGUGGGGAAUAUUGGACAAUGGGCGCAAGCCUGAUCCAGCCAUACCGCGUGGGUGAAGAAGGCCUUCGGGUUGUAAAGCCCUUUUGUUGGGAAAGAAAAGCAGCAGGUUAAUACCCCGCUGUUCUGACGGUACCCAAAGAAUAAGCACCGGCUAACUUCGU
rnacentral:rRNA from 1 species